GGCGAACGGGUGAGUAAUACAUCGGAACGUACCCAGUAGCGAGGGAUAGCCCGGCGAAAGCCGGAUUAAUACCGCAUACGCCCUACGGUGGAAAGGGGGGGAUCGCAAGACCUCUCACUAUUGGAGCGGCCGAUGGCUGAUUAGCUAGUUGGUAGGGUAAAGGCCUACCAAGGCGACGAUCAGUAGCUGGUCUGAGAGGACGACCAGCCACACUGGGCCUGAGACACGGCCCAGACUCCUACGGGAGGCUGCAGUGGGGAAUUUUGGACAAUGGGCGAAAGCCUGAUCCAGCAAUGCCGCGUGUGCGAAGAAGGCCUUCGGGUUGUAAAGCACUUUUGUCAGGGAAGAAAUCGUUUGGGUUAAUACCCCGAGCAGUUGACGGUACCUGAAGAAUAAGCACCGGCUAACUACGUGCCAGCAACCGCGGUAAUACGUAGGGUGCAAGCGUUAAUCGGAAUUACUGGGCGUAAAGCGUGCGCAGGUGGUUUGUUAAGACAGUUGUGAAAUCCCCGGGCUUAACCUGGGAACUGCAAUAAUGACUGGCAGACUAGAGUGAGGCAGAGGGGGGCGGAAUUCCUGGUGUAGCAGUGAAAUGCGUAGACAUCAGGAGGAACACCG
rnacentral:rRNA from 1 species